rnacentral:rRNA from 1 species
GGGUGAGUAACGCGUGAGUAACCUGCCCUGGAGUGGGGGACAACAGUUGGAAACGACUGCUAAUACCGCAUAAGCCCACGGCCCGGCAUCGGGCUGCGGGAAAAGGAUUUAUUCGCUUCAGGAUGGGCUCGCGUCCAAUUAGCUAGUUGGUGAGGUAACGGCCCACCAAGGCGACGAUUGGUAGCCGGACUGAGAGGUUGAACGGCCACAUUGGGACUGAGACACGGCCCAGACUCCUACGGGAGGCAGCAGUGGGGGAUAUUGCACAAUGGGGGAAACCCUGAUGCAGCGACGCCGCGUGGAGGAAGAAGGCUUUCGGAUUGUAAACUCCUGUCGUUAGGGACGAUAAUGACGGUACCUAACAAGAAAGAACCGGCUAACUACGUGCCAGCAGCCGCGGUAAAACGUAGGGUGCAAGCGUUGUCCGGAAUUACUGGGUGUAAAGGGAGCGCAGGCGGACCGGCAAGUUGGAAGUGAAAACCAUGGGCUCAACCCAUGAAUUGCUUUCAAAACUGCUGGCCUUGAGUAGUGCAGAGGUAGGUGGAAUUCCCGGUGUAGCGGUGGAAUGCGUAGAUAUCGGGAGGAACACCAGUGGCGAAGGCGACCUACUGGGCACCAACUGACGCUGAGGCUCGAAAGCAUGGGUAGCAAACAGGAUUAGAUACCCUGGUU